GACGAACGCUGGCGGCGUGCUUAACACAUGCAAGUCGAACGGUGAAGCGCCUUCCUUUUUGGUGGGUGUGGAUGAGUGGCGAACGGGUGAGUAACACGUGAGUAACCUGCCCCCUUCUUCUGGAUAACCGCAUGAAAGUGUGGCUAAUACGGGAUAUUCUGGGUCUGUCGCAUGAUGGGUCUGGGAAAGAUAUUGUUUCGGUGGGGGAUGGGCUCGCGGCCUAUCAGCUUGUUGGUGGGGUGAUGGCCUACCAAGGCGGUGACGGGUAGCCGGCCUGAGAGGGUGGACGGUCACACUGGGACUGAGACACGGCCCAGACUCCUACGGGAGGCAGCAGUGGGGAAUAUUGCACAAUGGGCGCAAGCCUGAUGCAGCGACGCCGCGUGAGGGAUGGAGGCCUUCGGGUUGUGAACCUCUUUCGCUAGUGAAGCAGGCCUGCCUCGUUUGUGGGUGGGUUGACGGUAGCUGGAUAAGAAGCGCCGGCUAGCUACGUG
rnacentral:rRNA from 1 species